rnacentral:tRNA from 1 species
GCGGUUGUGGUUCAGUGGCAGAGUGCUCACCUAGCACGUGUGAGGCGCUGGGUUCCAUCCUCAGCACCACA